rnacentral:misc_RNA from 1 species
UCGAAACCUCCAAGCGACCCGCGAACUCAGUUAUCCACGGGUAGGGGGCGUCGGGCUCGUCCCCGUCGCCCCCGCGCGCCGGUGGCGGCCAGGCGAGCCAUCUCCUGGCACGGCUGGCCCGCCGCCGGCCCAACAAACCAACCCCGGCGCGGCACGCGCCAAGGAACUUUGCAUCAUGAGAAGGAUCACGCCCCGUCCGUGCCGGAAAUCGGAUAACACGUUCGGCGGCUGUCCUCCUGUUCGUAACAAAAACGACUCUCGGCAACGGAUAUCUYGGCUCUUGCAUCGAUGAAGAACGUAGCGAAAUGCGAUACUUGGUGUGAAUUGCAGAAUCCCGUGAACCAUCGAGUCUUUGAACGCAAGUUGCGCCCGAAGCCUUCUGGCCGAGGGCACGUCUGCCUGGGUGUCACACAUCGUCGCCCCCAAUCCCAGCACCCCAGCAGGGGCGCCAGGGAAGAGGACGGGCGGAUAUUGGUCUCCCGUGCGCACCCGCUCGCGGUUGGCCCAAAGAUCAGUUCCCGGCGAUCGCAAGCCACGACCAGCGGUGGUUGUAGGACCCUCGGUUUUAGGUCGCGAGCAAGCGUCGCAUGCGGGGACAGUACUGACCCUGAACGUGCUCGAAGAACUUCGUGCGCUCCCAGA